rnacentral:rRNA from 1 species
CCUACGGGCGGCAGCAGUGGGGAAUAUUGCACAAUGGAGGGAACUCUGAUGCAGCGACGCCGCGUGAGUGAAGAAGUAAUUCGUUAUGUAAAGCUCUAUCAGCAGGGAAGAAAGUGACGGUACCUGAACAAGAAGCUCCGGCUAAAUACGUGCCAGCAGCCGCGGUAAUACGGAUGGAGCAAGCGUUAUCCGGAUUUACUGGGUGUAAAUGGAGAGUAGGUGGCAGAGCAAGUCCGAAGUGAAAACCCAAAGGGCAACAAUGGGAAUGCUUUAGAAACUGCCCAGCUAGAGUGCAGGAGAGGCAAGUGGAAGGCUUGGUGUAGCGGUGAAAUGCGUAGAUAUUAGGAGGAACACCAGUGGCGAAGGCAGCUUGCUGGACUGUAACUGACACUGAGGCUCGAAAGCGUGGGGAGCAAACAGGAUUAGAUACCCGUGUAGUC